ACCCCUUCUUCUUCCUCCCCUUUCACUUCCCUUGCUUGUUCUUUCUUUUCCUUCUCAAGCUGAGCUCCCAGCUCACUUCUCCCCAAAUCCCAUCUAAGAACCCAAACUCAAGCUCUGCAUGUUAGACCACAACAAUCCCCAUCAUCCAAGCUUUCCAUCCAUACCAACAUCUUGCACAUGCAUGGAGAGUUGUGGGAGAUCGAAAUAGGAGAAGAGAGUGGUGGUUUCAUCCUGCAUGGUUGUAGCAGCAACAUGACUUUGUUUCCCUCCAUUUGGUCAUCCACCUCCAUUAUUGCAGCUAGGAGGUGGCUGUAGCUCAUCCGGUGUUAAUCUCUUUUGAUUUCGGUGGAAGCAGCCCCAAUCUCCAUUUUAAUUGUAUCUAUAGAUUUGGACGUUCCAGAGUGUGACGAGCAGUACCCUGAGGUUGAGGGUGAUCCAUCUCAGCAGCAAGGCAAGCACCCAAG